UAGAUUUUCCAUGCAUGUUUUUACCAGAUUAAGUAACACUUUAAAAAUAUACAUUUUCAGUAUCAGGAAAAUAUAAAAUAUAUGCGGGAAAAAGUGGCUUCUGAAGUGCAACUAAAAGGUUCUUCUGCCCAUUUCCAAUUCAUCAGCGUGGUUGUUGGUGAUCAUUUAUUGAAAUGAAUGUUUGAAUAAUGUUUAUACGUCUCAUCAUGACUCAAUGGUCAGGUAGUGCCUACACACAGGACGGCAGAAGGGUUUUGACUCCAUCUGUGCACGUGUCAGCCUUUGCUGAGACACAAACAACGUGCAUCACCGUACGUGUUGGUUUUAAGUGUGUUAAAGGGUGAAGGGUUGCACGUUGUUUCACAUCCAGCUGCGCUUAACAGGAGGCAUAACUCGUGAGGCAAAUCAGAAAAUUAGCCACGCUUCUUCAGAAUAAAGCUGCAUUUGUCUUCAGCUGGAAAUUUCCUCAGCCAACAAAUCCAGGCCUUGCGGUUUGCAGAGCUGAACGUGUCCAUCCCCACAACUUGCCGCUACGCCAACACAUAGAACCGCCCGCACAGGGCACGGCGGGCUCAUGGCGAGCACGGGGAGUGCAUUCCCCUCACCUGACGGGACGGACAUGGGCAUCUCGAAUCCCUUUGCCGUCCCCGCAGGCCGGGCCAAUCCCCACGCACGAACCGCCACCGCUCGCUGCCCGCCCGGCCGUAGCGCGGAGGCAGCGGCCGCAGGGGGCGGGCUGCAGCGCGGGGAGGCACCGCCUUCCCGCCCGCCCGGCACUGCGGGGCUGGAGGCUUAGGAGCCGGAGCGGUGGCGCUGCUCCUCCGGCGGGCGGGAGGAGAAGAAGUCAUCGUAGGUUUGGUGUCCUAGAAGUAUGGAAUCAAUCUCUAUGAUGGGAAGCCCUAAGAACCUCAAUGAAAGUUUUCUACCAAAUGUGGCCAAUGGCAUCAAGGAUGCCAGUAAGAUCACAGUAGGCAUCAUUGGAAGUGGAGACUUUGCAAAAUCAUUGACCAUUAGGCUGAUCAGAUGUGGAUACCAUGUGGUCGUAGGAAGCAGAAACCCUAAACUUGCUGCGGAGUUCUUUCCCCAUGUGGUUGACGUCACUCACCAUGAAGAUGCAGUAACAAAAACAAACAUCAUUUUUGUAGCUAUUCAUAGAGAACACUACACAUCUUUGUGGGACCUCAAGCAUUUACUCAUUGGUAAAAUUCUGGUUGAUGUCAGCAACAAUACAAGAGUAGACCAAUAUCCAGACUCCAAUGCAGAGUAUUUGGCAUCGCUUUUCCCAGAUUCCCUAAUUGUCAAAGGAUUCAAUGUUGUUUCAGCUUGGUCACUCCAGUUAGGACCAAAGGAUGCCAGCAGACAGGUCUAUAUAUGCAGUAACAAUGUUCAGGCUCGCCAUCAAGUUACUGAGCUUGCUCGUCAGCUCGGUUUUAUUCCUAUUGAUUUGGGGGCAUUGUCAUCUUCAAGAGAGAUCGAAAACUUACCUCUGCGACUCUUCACACUGUGGAAGGGGCCUGUGGUGAUUGCCAUUGGUCUGGCAACAUUUUUCUUCAUCUACUCCUUCAUCAGAGACGUAAUCCAUCCAUACGUGAGAAAUCAACAGAGUGACUUUUACAAGAUCCCCAUUGAGAUUGUGAACAAGACUCUACCAAUCAUUGCCAUCACUUUACUCUCUCUUGUCUAUUUAUCAGGACUUAUUGCAGCUGCUUAUCAGCUUUACUAUGGCACUAAGUACAGGCGAUUUCCACCUUGGCUGGAUAACUGGCUCCAGUGUCGAAAGCAGCUUGGACUGCUCAGUUUUUUCUUUGCAGUGGUGCAUGUGGCAUACAGCCUUUGCUUACCUAUGAGGAGAUCAGAGCGAUACUUGUUCCUCAAUAUGGCAUAUCAACAGGUUCAUGCAAAUGUUGAAAAUUCCUGGAACGAGGAAGAAGUGUGGCGAAUUGAGAUGUAUAUCUCCUUUGGAAUAAUGAGUCUUGGGUUGCUUUCUUUGCUGGCAGUAACUUCUAUCCCUUCAGUCAACAGUGCCUUAAACUGGAGGGAGUUCAGUUUUAUUCAGUCUACACUUGGAUACGUUGCUCUGCUCAUAAGUACUUUCCAUGUACUUAUUUAUGGAUGGAAAAGAGCUUUUGAAGAAGAAUAUUACCGAUUUUACACACCACCAAAUUUUGUUCUUGCCCUUGUUCUGCCUUCCAUUGUAAUUCUAGGACACAGAAAGACACUACGGUACUAUCAGUAUUUAUUCAAUCCACUUGUUAUUCAAAAAACAGCUGUGUCAAAAUUGAGACUGCUGAGCACAAAUAAGCUUGUCAGGUGGAGACAUUCUUUCGUAUUUGGUUGUACACAUGAGAAAGCAUUACUGUUUAAAUGAGAAAAACAGGUGAACCGCUUUGCAGUUAUUCACACUGGAAGUAUGUACACCUUUUGUUCCUAGAAGGCUUAUGCCAAUACAGGAGGAAAGAGGAAGAUAAUACAUAUGAGGUGAAACUCUGCUUCAUCAACAGUUCUGAAUUCAGAGAAAUCAAGGUGCACAAGUCAGUGAAGCCAUCACGAUUCACAUUACUUUCAUGUUAAGUUGCAUAGCUUUCCUAUACUCUCAAACAAAGCCAUUCCCUAGAAGCAACAGAAUUUAGAUAUGUUUAAAAAUCAAAAUAUUCUAUACCUAUUUGUGUCAUGCUAGUCAUAAAAAUAACUUUUUGGUCUUAGAGAUCUGUCUUUUCUGAGCUACUUUAAAAUCUUGCUGCGUUUCUGUACAUCACUGUGCUUGUUUGUCUGAGUGUUGAUACUAUAUUAGCAUCUGGGAACCCUGAAUUAUACCUUUGUCCAGCUAAAACUGUAGAGAAAUGUAAGUUCUGUCUACGGUGACUUACUUCAUUUCCUGUUAAUAACAGGUCAGGUGAAGAUCCCCAUCAAAUCCAUAGCACCUAGUGACCUAAACACUGCAUUGUGAUAGAUAGGCAGGAAGUCUGGUAGUACAGCACUGCACUUUCCUGUUGCCCUUCUUUUUCUCCAUCCUACUCAUCAAAACAAGAAACAAGAGUGAAAAAGAAGAUAAGAACCCAACCAGCUGAUUCUUAGAGUCUGGUUUCUGUACUGUAAGGAGCUUGGUGUCAUAUUUGAUACACAGCAUGGAUGCCUUUGAAAAAGCCGAGAGGUUCUGUACAGCCAAGGAAAGGACAUCACUUGGCUAUGGCAGAAGACCCCCUGAUGCAGUACAAGGAAAGGUGUAUCCUAUGCAGAAUACAUUAUUUCAUAAACUUGCAACUUAAUUUGUAAAAAAGCAAAUAAAGAUUGGGAGCAAAAAUAAUUCAGUCAGCAAAGUCAACGGGAGGUUGACGGAAGACCUAGGUACAAAACUUUAAUCGUCUAAUGCGCAGCUGUCCUACACAUUCCAAUACGCAGACAUGUGGUAACUGAAGUUUACCUCAAAUGAAAUUGCUGAAAUUUCACCACAAAACAAUGUCUUCAAUUAAAGCAGAAAUAUAAAUUGCUUACUUUUAAAAUAUAUUUUGCUAGCAUUUAUAAGGUUUGGUUUUUUUGCUAAACAUUUGUAAGUUGUUAACAAUUGUGAAUUAAUACUCUUAGAAGUAAAGCACUAUGGGCUUCAUGUCUCAAAUAUUAUUUGUUCCCAGUGGAAACAGUAGAUGUGAUAAAAAACAAUGUAAGCCUGUUGUUUGAGGUAGAAAACUGUUAAGCAAAUAUUUUCACAGUUGACUGCAGGCUUUUUAGAAUGGGCAUCUGCCAGUUUGCAGAGGGCAGCAGAAUCCUUUUAAGUCAAUCCAGAAUCCCUUUAAGUCAAACUUGUACAGUGUAGCUUCCAUCCAAAUUCUUCUUCAUUUAUGAAAAAGGUGCACAGUGAGCAAAUGAACAUUUGCAGUAUGAUCUUUGGAACACUCAGCCAACAAAUGACACGUGACCUAGGCUUAUAAUUUACAGACUAUGUUGCUCAAUUUAGACGCAUUCUCAUUAUGCUUGUCAUUCAAAGCAGCAGAGCUUAAAACCAUUUAAGCCACAAUAAAUAUAAAUUCUAACUUUUUCAUGAGCCUAAAAACAGUUGAGUGUAUACACCUUCAGUAGGUAUCUCAGUAUGAUGCAAAAAAAAUGUGUAAUUCAGUUUGUUCAGCACUAACUACUUACAGACCUGUAAGUAUUAUCAUUAUGAUUAACUUCAAAUAAUAAAUAAAUCUUGUUUCAUCCCUUGUAGGCCUAGAUAUUAGACUGCAGCUGAGAAUAUAUUCAAAAUAGCAAUUUUUUAAGUAAAACAUGGAAGGGCUAGUAAAAUGGAUAAAGGGAGUUGUGUGUAAAUGGAUGGAGAAGAAGCAUCAACCAGUAGAUCCAGGACUGGUAGCUGCGUUGUCACAUUAGGUGAAUGCACUGUCAUGUCCUACAGGUCCUGUCACCAUAUGUCACCCAUGUUGCUAUGAUUACAACUUGUGAGAUUUAGGAUGUCAAAGUAGUCACUGCAUUUUUCAAAUUAUCAUUCUAUGCUAUGUUGUGUUUUUGCUGUCAUUUUGAAGUUGUAUUCAGGGUAAACUGUUACAAAAUAUAGAGGGUACGUGAGGUAUUCACAGAAUCAUAUAGCUAGUUGGAAGGGAACCACAAGGAUCAUUGAGUCCAGCUCCUGGCUCCACCCUAAACCCUGGGCUGAGUAAACCCAGGGACCUCAGCUGCUCCACAUAUAUCUUGCCCUCUAGAACUUUCAGCAUCUUUGUAGCCUACCUUUGGACUCUUUGUAACAGUUUCAUGUCCUCCUUAUAUAGUAGCAUGCAAAUUGCACCCAAUGCUGGAGGUGAGGCCAUGCAACGCAGAGCAGAGCAGUGGGACAACCCCUUCCCUCGCCCACUUGCAGUGCAGGACCUGGUGCCCCCCAGGGUACGGUUGGCCCUUCUGGCUGCCAGGGCACACUGCUGCCUCAUGUUCUCAACCAGAAGCCCCCAUAUCCCUUUCUGUGGGGUUGCUCUCCAGCCUCUCGUCAUGUAGUCUGUACCUAUCUCCAGGGUUGCCCCAUCCCAGGUGCACAACUGGACACUUGCUCUUGUUAAACUUUAUGCAGUUGGUGAUUACUGGGCUCUCCAAUUUGCCAAUAUCUCUUUGCAAGGCCUCUUCUACCAUCAAAAGUCAACAGCUCCUCCCAACUUCACAGGAUCACUGAAUCACAGAACUGCAGGUAUUGAAAGGGACCAAUGGAGAUUAUCAAAUUCAACACUCAGCUAAAGAAGGUUCCCUACAGCAGGUUGCACAGGUAGGCGUCCAGAUGGAUCUUGAAUAUCUCCAUAGAAGGAGACUCCACAACAUAUCUGGGCAGCCU